UAGGAUGGGUGGGCAGUCGGUUCGCCCGGUUCGCCAGAUCGGGUGUCGUAAGAGGGAACCCGGUGGGAAGCCGGGACUGCCCCGCAGCGGUGAGUGGGCGACGGUGCGUGCCCGCGAGUCCGAAUACCUGCCACUGCCCGCGCCUGAC
rnacentral:ncRNA from 1 species